rnacentral:rRNA from 1 species
GUGGGGAAUAUUGGACAAUGGCCGGAAGGCUGAUCCAGCCAUGCCGCGUGCGGGAAGACGGCCCUAUGGGUUGUAAACCGCUUUUGUUGGGGAGCAAUAAGUCCUACGCGUAGGAUGAUGAGAGUACCCAGCGAAUAAGCAUCGGCUAACUCCGUGCCAGCAGCCGCGGUAAUACGGAGGAUGCAAGCGUUAUCCGGAUUUAUUGGGUUUAAAGGGUGCGUAGGCGGAUGCUUAAGCGUGAGGUGAAAUGCCCGGGCUCAACCUGGGAACUGCCUCGCGAACUGGGUAUCUGGAAUGUCCGUGCCGUGGGAGGAAUGUGUGGUGUAGCGGUGAAAUGCAUAGAGAUCACACAGAACACCGAUUGCGAAGGCAUCUCACGAACGGAUGAUUGACGCUGAGGCACGAAAGCGUGGGGAUCAAACAGG